AUCCAGCUGAUCAGUCCCAAAUAGGACGACACAUGUGUCAUGGAU
rnacentral:hammerhead_ribozyme from 1 species